rnacentral:rRNA from 1 species
GACGAACGCUGGCGGCGUGCGUAAUACAUGCAAGUAGGACGCACAGUUUAUACCGUAGCUUGCUACACCAUAGACUGUGAGUUGCGAACGGGUGAGUAACGCGUAGGUAACCUGCCUAUUAGAGGGGGAUAACUAUUGGAAACGAUAGCUAAUACCGCAUAACAGUAUGUAACACAUGUUAGAUGCUUGAAAGAUGCAAUUGCAUCGCUAGUAGAUGGACCUGCGUUGUAUUAGCUAGUAGGUAGGGUAAUGGCCUACCUAGGCGACGAUACAUAGCCGACCUGAGAGGGUGAUCGGCCACACUGGGACUGAGACACGGCCCAGACUCCUACGGGAGGCAGCAGUAGGGAAUCUUCGGCAAUGGGGAGAACCCUGACCGAGCAACGCCGCGUGAGUGAAGAAGGUUUUCGGAUCGUAAAGCUCUGUUGUUAAGGAAGAACGAGUGUGAAAAUGGAAAGUUCAUACUGUGACGGUACUUAACCAGAAAGGGACGGCUAACUACGUGCCAGCAGCCGCGGUAAUACGUAGGUCCCGAGCGUUGUCCGGAUUUAUUGGGCGUAAAGCGAGCGCAGGCGGUUAGAAAAGUCUGAAGUGAAAGGCAGUGGCUCAACCAUUGUAGGCUUUGGAAACUGUUUAACUUGAGUGCAGAAGGGGAGAGUGGAAUUCCAUGUGUAGCGGUGAAAUGCGUAGAUAUAUGGAGGAACACCGGUGGCGAAAGCGGCUCUCUGGUCUGUAACUGACGCUGAGGCUCGAAAGCGUGGGGAGCGAACAGG